CAAAAUCUUCCUCCAUUAUUUUCACGCUCCAAAAAACUCUCCCAGUCUACUCUGGUAAAUCUCGUACCCAGCCAUAUCUAACUCCCUAAAUCUCAUUCCCAACCAUAUCUCUCUCCCUAAAUGUCUCAUAUCCACCCUUAAUAUCUUAUACAAGAGCCUAAAUCUCUCAUACCAAGUCAAGCCCUAAUCGCACACAGGAACUACAUCUGAUGUGAG
rnacentral:lncRNA from 1 species